rnacentral:rRNA from 1 species
UACAGAGGUCUCAAGCGUUGUUCGGAUUCAUUGGGCGUAAAGGGUGCGUAGGUGGCGCUGUAAGUCGGGUGUGAAAUUUCGGAGCUUAACUCCGAAACUGCAUUCGAUACUGCGGUGCUUGAGGACUGGAGAGGAGACUGGAAUUCAUGGUGUAGCAGUGAAAUGCGUAGAGAUCAUGAGGAAGACCAGUGGCGAAGGCGG